AUUGAACGCUGGCGGCAGGCCUAACACAUGCAAGUCGAGCGAGCGGCGGACGGGUGAGGAAUGUGUGGGGGUCUGCCCGUUAGGGGGAGCUAACUACUAGAAACGGUAGCUCAUCACGCGUACUAUCGGAUGAACCCAUUUGGGGUUAGCUAGUAGGGGGGUUACUGGCGCACCUAGGCGACGAUCCCUAGCUGGUCUGAGAGGAUGAUCAGCCACACGGGGACUGAGACACGGCCCAGACUCCUACGGGAGGCAGCAGUGGGGAAUAUUGGACAAUGGGCGCAAGCCUGAUGCAGCCAUGCCGCGUGUAUGAAGAAGGCCCUCGGGUUGUAAAGUACUUUUGGCUGAGAAGCGGUAUCUGCAGAAUAAGCACCGGCUAACUACGUGCCAGCAGCCGCGGUAAUUC
rnacentral:rRNA from 1 species